rnacentral:rRNA from 1 species
GACGAACGCUGGCGGCGUGCUUAACACAUGCAAGUCGAACGGUGAAGGAGAGCUUGCUCUCCGGAUCAGUGGCGAACGGGUGAGUAACACGUGGGCGACCUGCCCCAGACUUCGGGAUAACGCUUCGAAAGAGGUGCUAAUACCGGCUACGCACUCCUUGGGCAUCCUUGGAGUUGGAAAGUUUUUCGGUCUGGGAUGGGCCCGCGGCCUAUCAGCGUGUUGGUGAGGUAACGGCUCACCAAGGCGACGACGGGUAGCCGGCCUGAGAGGGCGACCGGCCACACUGGGACUGAGACACGGCCCAGACUCCUACGGGAGGCAGCAGUGGGGAAUAUUGCGCAAUGGGCGAAAGCCUGACGCAGCAACGCCGCGUGAGGGAUGACGGCCUUCGGGUUGUAAACCUCUUUCAGCAGGGAAGAAGCGAAAGUGACGGUACCUGCAGAAGAAGCACCGGCUAACUACGUGCCAGCCGCCGCAGUAAGAC